CCCUUAGAUGUCCUGGGCCGCACGCGCGCUACACUGAUGCAUGCAACGAGUAUAUAACCUUGGCCUGAAAGGCCUGGGUAAUCUUUUGAACGUGCAUCGUGAUAGGGAUAGAUUAUUGCAAUUAUUAAUCUUGAACGAGGAAUUCCUAGUAAACGCGAGUCAUCAGCUCGCAUUGAUUACGUCCCUGCCCUUUGUACACACCGCCCGUCGCACCUACCGAUUGAAUGACUCGGUGAAAAAUUGGGACCGUGAGUCUGUUUGCUUCAUUGCGAGUGGAUUGAUGGGAACUUUUUUAAACCUCGUCAUUUAGAGGAAGGUGAAGUCGUAACA
rnacentral:rRNA from 1 species